UCCUGGUUAGCUCAGCUGGUAGAGCACUUUACUGGAAAUGGAGAAGUCCCUGGUCCAAUACCAGGACCAGACA
rnacentral:tRNA from 2 species